rnacentral:misc_RNA from 1 species
AAUGGGUGAAUCAUCAAGCUCAGACGUGCAAGGACCAAUGGAGCUAAAUUCAAGUAACAGAGAAUUAGGCUAUAUUGCUAUCAACUUAUCAUUUUAGGGAAAAAGAUAAUAAUGAGGGGGAGAGAGAAAGAGGGAGCAUGGCGAAAAAUGUCACAGAAUCUAAUUUUGUUCACAUGUAGUGUUGGUUGUAAUAAUUAUUGUUUGGUUGGUAGAAAUUAUGUAAGAUGUUGAGCUAUCAACUCUCUCUCU